rnacentral:rRNA from 1 species
GACGAACGCUGGCGGCGUGCUUAACACAUGCAAGUCGAACGGAAAGGCCCUGCUUUUGUGGGGUGCUCGAGUGGCGAACGGGUGAGUAACACGUGAGUAACCUGCCCUUGACUUUGGGAUAACUUCAGGAAACUGGGGCUAAUACCGGAUAGGAGCUCCUGCUGCAUGGGGGGGGUUGGAAAGUUUCGGCGGUUGGGGAUGGACUCGCGGCUUAUCAGCUUGUUGGUGGGGUAGUGGCUUACCAAGGCUUUGACGGGUAGCCGGCCUGAGAGGGUGACCGGCCACAUUGGUACUGAAAUACGGCCCAGACUCCUACGGGAGGCAGCAGUGGGGAAUAUUGCACAAUGGGCGGAAGCCUGAUGCAGCAACGCCGCGUGCGGGAUGACGGCCUUCGUGUUGUAAACCGCUUUCGCCUGUGACGAAGCGUGAGUGACGGUAAUGGGUAAAGAAGCACCGGCUAACUACGUG